rnacentral:rRNA from 1 species
CGGGACACGUGGUAUCCUGUCUGAAUAUGGGGGGACCAUCCUCCAAGGCUAAAUACUCCUGACUGACCGAUAGUGAACCAGUACCGUGAGGGAAAGGCGAAAAGAACCCCGGCGAGGGGAGUGAAAAAGAACCUGAAACCGUGUACGUACAAGCAGUGGGAGCACGCUUAGGCGUGUGACUGCGUACCUUUUGUAUAAUGGGUCAGCGACUUAUAUUCUGUAGCAAGGUUAACCGAAUAGGGGAGCCGAAGGGAAACCGAGUCUUAACUGGGCGUUAAGUUGCAGGGUAUAGACCCGAAACCCGGUGAUCUAGCCAUGGGCAGGUUGAAGGUUGGGUAACACUAACUGGAGGACCGAACCGACUAAUGUUGAAAAAUUAGCGGAUGACUUGUGGCUGGGGGUGAAAGGCCAAUCAAACCGGGAGAUAGCUGGUUCUCCCCGAAAGCUAUUUAGGUAGCGCCUCGUGAAUUCAUCUCCGGGGGUAGAGCACUGUUUCGGCAAGGGGGUCAUCCCGACUUACCAACCCGAUGCAAACUGCGAAUACCGGAGAAUGUUAUCACGGGAGACACACGGCGGGUGCUAACGUCCGUCGUGAAGAGGGAAACAACCCAGACCGCCAGCUAAGGUCCCAAAGUCAUGGUUAAGUGGGAAACGAUGUGGGAAGGCCCAGACAGCCAGGAUGUUGGCUUAGAAGCAGCCAUCAUUUAAAGAAAGCGUAAUAGCUCACUGGUCGAGUCGGCCUGCGCGGAAGAUGUAACGGGGCUAAACCAUGCACCGAAGCUGCGGCAGCGACGCUGAUGCGUUGUUGGGUAGGGGAGCGUUCUGUAAGCCUGCGAAGGUGUGCUGUGAGGCAUGCUGGAGGUAUCAGAAGUGCGAAUGCUGACAUAAGUAACGAUAAAGCGGGUGAAAAGCCCGCUCGCCGGAAGACCAAGGGUUCCUGUCCAACGUUAAUCGGGGCAGGGUGAGUCGACCCCUAAGGCGAGGCCGAAAGGCGUAGUCGAUGGGAAACAGGUUAAUAUUCCUGUACUUGGUGUUACUGCGAAGGGGGGACGGAGAA